CGUGUAGGCGGUUUUUUAAGUCUGAUGUGAAAGCCCCGGGCUCAACCUGGGAAGUGCAUUGGAAACUGGGAGACUUGAAUACGGGAGAGGGCAGUGGAAUUCCUGGUGUAGGAGUGAAAUCCGUAGAUAUCAGGAGGAACACCGGUGGCGAAGGCGGCUGCCUGGACCGAUAUUGACGCUGAGACGCGAAAGCGUGGGGAGCAAACAGGAUUAGAUACCCUGGUAGUCCACGCCGUAAACGAUGAGUACUAGGUGUCGCGGGUAUUGACCCCUGCGGUGCCGCAGCUAACGCAUUAAGUACUCCGCCUGGGAAGUACGGCCGCAAGGCUAAA
rnacentral:rRNA from 1 species